GCUGCUGGGCCACGGACGGUCCAUCACUCAGAUCAAGUACAACGGAGAAGGAGACCUGUUUUCCGUCGCUAAAGAUCCAGUGGCCAACGUGUGGUACGACUCGGCACCUACAACGGACACACGGGAGUGUUCGGUGGGUCGACUGGGACACCAAAAAUGUGUUGACAGGAUCAGCUGACAACUGCGAGACCAGAGGGUGAAAAGAAAAUGCAUGUGAUAGAUGGAUAUAUAGAAGUUUCUGAAUCCCUCGGGAGUUCCAGGAGCAGUACAGCACCAAAACAACAAUAAAAAACACACAAAUAGCAAAAAUCAUCCUGCUUUCCACAGACAAGCAGAAGGGCUUUAGUGUUUCAUGAACUUGUUCGACCUGAGGGAUCCACAGAUCGUCCUAAAGAAAGCAAAGGAGCACAGCAGGCACAUCAACGACUUCCAGGCGUCUGUAGACCUCACCAUGUUCAUCAGUGCCUCAAAGGACAACGCAGCCAAGGAAUAUGAACCCAUCAUCUACCACCCCAAACGCUCCUCCCAGAGUGUACACCAGGACUUCACAGUUCAGUGUGAAAAGAUGGACAUUCCUUUUCUUUCCUAUCUACCCACAGAGAUGCAGCUCAUCAACGAUGCCUACAACCUAGUGAUCGAUGCUAUGCUGGGCGCAGAGUCUGACCCCACUAAUGUUAAGGAGCCGUAUUGUGGUAUUCUGUGCACCUUGAAGCAGGUCAAGAUUCCCAUUGCCAGUGUGGAUGUUCCAUCAGGUUGGGAUGUAGAAGAGCCGAGUCAGGACGGGAUACACCCCGAAGUUCUCAUCUCGCUCACAGCACCGAAGAAGUGCUCCAUGAGUUUCUCUGGCAAGCACUUCUUGGCCGGGCGCUUUCUGCCUUAUGACAUCCAGAAGAAAUACGAGCUGAACCUACCGGACGACACAGACUGUCUUAUAGAACUGUAACACACCAACUUUGAUGCUGCGAUGUACCCAUUGUAGUUGCGUAAAACAGAUUCCACUUGAGUUUAAUAACAGUUAUAACAGUAAUAAUAAUAACAGUUGAGCUACUGUAGACCAGCGGUCCUCAACCUUUUUAGUGGCACGGAUGUGUUAAACGAUACGACGGCCAAUAAAAACUGGUUUUUCCUAAAUACAGUAAUAAACGUUUAGGCACUUUAAUAGCAGCGUCCUCGUAACAUCACGCUAGUCUUUCAAUGCAGAACGCCGGUUUUGAAGGCUUCAUCGCCUGGAGAGCUGUUCGCCGUGUCCACCGGAAUUGGGUGCAAUUUUCUUUGAAGACGUAGACUUCUCUUCUGUCUUCUCACUGGCUCUUUUACCCUGCGCUAAGAAACUUCCCAAAGACGUUUGUUGUGACCGAGGCGAUCUUCACAUGUCUCAAGUGUGAGAAUAAUUUUUCAAAAUAAAACAUUGUUCAGAAUCAGAUAAAAAGUAAAACGGAAAUAAUGGAACCUGCGGACCGCUGCCGGUCUGUGGCCCGGGGGUUGGGAACCACAGCUGUAGAGGGAUGUUAUUUAGAAACUAAAGUGUGAGUCAUGUCUUUUUAGAGAAUGGCAUAAAAAAAAUCUGCGUGUCAGACUUCAUAAAAAGCCGUAGCUGUUUCCCAAUUCCAUUUGAUGAGACAAUACAAUGAUGGAUGAGUUUUAUUUUUACCGCUGUCGGAGGCCGUAACUAAUUUAUGUUCUUAUAUAUUUCAUUUUUAAUAGAGCAGUCUCGACUCAGCUGUCAGGGUCGUAUGUUGCUGUUUUCAUUUCUGCAAACCACACAUGUAUGUGAGCUGAGUGAACUGUAGGUUUUUAUAUGUAUGCAUGUCUACAGAUGUGCACAUCAACGUAGUAGGAUUUUUAACAGCAGUCAGAAAUAAGGGAAUGACACUGAUUCCAUUCAUUUGUAAGUGUGGUUAGGUAAAACAAAAUCCCACCUGGAUAAAGCAUUAGUAUGUUUUUGUCUGGUGUCAGAGUCAGUAAUUACAGGCCAAAAGAAAUUCAGACACCGAAAAACGUUCAACGGAUUAUUAAUAAAGUCAGGUUAAAACAGCAACUCAGAAACCAUUGUAGCGUGCAGUGAAAACAGGCUGUGUUCAGAGCGGCGGUGAGGGACAGGAGAAACAGAAACAGAAGUACUGUGAAGAAGGCUAGACAAAAACAAGUGACCCUGAGCGAAAAGAAACAGGUAUUAAAGAUCAGAUUCUGGGGUCAAAGGGACACCAGGACGAAGUCAGCGAUCCGGUGUGGUCUGGGGCUUUGAAGGGGAGGAUUGUGGUAGGAAAGAAUGGCAGUGAGGAGGCACCACAUAAUCAGUGAAUGAAAAAUCAUCUAAUUCUUAAUAACAGAAAUUUAGAUGAACAUUUUGAUGUACAACAACAAAGUAUGCAAAGUGCAAAUUUUGGUUGAUAUAAGGAUUAUACCAUGCCCUCUGACCACACUUUUCACCGUCUCACAGUGAUCUGUGCCGAUCAUCGCUCUGCCCUUCAAGUUUAAUUGGCGUGACAGCUUUAGACUCUUGGCAAAAGGCUGAAAACCAACGGCAUGAUGCUUUAUUAGUGUCUGUAUUUUUAAAUGUGUUUUUGUAAUGUAAGAUGAAGCAAUCAUGACAUUGGCGUGUAGUGUGUGUGGAGGGAAUCAGGAAGCUGGUCGUGGUCCAGAUGGGACUGUUUGGUGGGCCAGAUUCGGCCCAUGUGCCACUGGUUGAUGAUCACUGCCGUUACUGAUAAUCCAGUUGACGAUCACCGGCCUAAGCGCGGGGGAGAAAAUCAUAAAGACGUGUCAUGGUUUGCAGGGAGGUAAAAUAUCAACACUUUUGUCAGAUCUAGAUAUGGUGAGGUGGUAAAUGUAAGAGUUAAAAAGAGUUUUAGCUCAACAUUUGUACUGUUUUAGUUAAUUAUUUUGCAAAAUGUACAGUAAGAGAGGUAGUUUUUAUUGUGUAAUAAAAAAAUCUAUGGUUACAAUGGACAUGUUUAUUAUUAUUUGUGUAAUCUCAAACUACUGGUGCUGGACCAGUUAGGUGCUUGUAAGGUCAACAAAGGUUUUGCAGCGUAUUGUGUUUAUACAAAUAUGCCUUUCUUCUAAGCUUUAGCCACAUACCAAACCCUUCAUAUCCUUCUCGUCGUGUGACCUUCAAAGCUUUCCACUCCUGCUGCACAAUCCUCCACGUGUUCUUCAGGAUCUUCCAUUUCAUCUGCACCAAAACCUAAGUAACUGCCCAAGGUCGUUCCCUAAAGGAAAAGUAAAAUUGAUCAAGUGGCGGCGCUGACGAGUCGACCACGAGAGGGAGUGUGGGCUCGGAGGAGGCGUUCCCAGAGUGACGUCUAAGGGUGGAACCUGCUAAUGAUCUAGACGCCGCAGUCGGUCGUGUCGGCCUUUAUUGACCUUUGUGGACACCGCACAAAGUCAAAGGGGUGAGAACUACGGCGACGGCAAAGGGUUCAUUAGAGUAUGACCAACCGUAGGACAGGGCUGCGUACGGCAGGAGCCAAUGGAGAGCCAGUGGCGGAGUGAGUGCCAGGGGGAAGUUUCCUGUCCAGAUAUCUUCAUCUGGUGAUCCCGCAGAACUUUUGUCAUUUUUAUAGUGGGCUUGUCUGUAUUUGCUGAGUACAUUUUCUAGUAAAGACUACUGUGCCCUAGCGAGGCACUUAGAAGAAUUUUUGGGAGGCCUCCC